CAGAAAAUUAGGCUUUUAUCUUUAAUUUUUGACGACUUUUUGAUCUGUGAAGAGUUUGCAUGUUCUCCCUGUGCCUUUUGAAGGUUUAUCUCCAGCUUACUGCCACAAUCCUAAAACGAGCUUGUGAAGUUAACUGGUGACUCUGAAGUGGUGCGGAGAUGUGUAAACAUUUUAAUUUACUGUUCGCCGUGGUGGGAUCCAGCCUCCGGGUGCCACCAUGAAGUUGGAAGGAUGUCAUGUAAAAUGCUAUCAUAACAUUUUUAUAAUCGAGACGUAGACGCCAUUGAUAUAAUUAUUGAAGUAAAGUCAUGUUUUGUGUAAAAUUAACGUCAGUGUUUGCAACCAGAAUUUGGCUUAGGUAAAAUAAAUGUGACGUGACCUCUGCACGAACCAAACAUCUCAGUCAUCGCUACAGGAAACCAAAGGACGCCAUAUUUCUCCCCCAUCACCAGCAUGGGUGCAGCUCAGCUGCUCUGCAGUGAAACAUACAGAGUGAUCUUCCUUCAUCAUCAUCACCACCAUCUUCAUCUAUCACUAACGCUGAAUUUAACACAUUUUACCUGGUCUAUAUUUAACAGAGGAUGAAAUGUCUGUAAAAGAUCAAUAACUAAACGAG